rnacentral:rRNA from 1 species
CGGUUCGCCGCCCGCGACUCGGCGAGAAGUCCAUUGAACCUUAUCAUUUAGAGGAAGGAGAAGUCGUAACAAGGUUUCCGUAGGUGAACCUGCGGAAGGAUCAUUGUCGAGACCGAAUUAUACACCGAGCGAUUCGGAGAACCCGUGAAGUGACGGGCGGCGGCCGCCGCGGAACGGCCGUCCGAGCCGUCGCCCCGUCUCCUCCUUCGGGGGGAGGCGGCGUGGCGGAGGACGCGGAUGAAAGCACAAACCGGGCGCAGCAUCGCGCCAAGGGAGAGUUGAAUGCCACGGCCCCGGUCGGGCUCGGUGGCGUGGAGUGCUGUUGCACGCCACGUGGAUGGACACGACUCUCGGCAAUGGAUAUCUCGGCUCUCGCAUCGAUGAAGAGCGCAGCGAAAUGCGAUACGUGGUGCGAAUUGCAGAAUCCCGCGAACCAUCGAGUCUUUGAACGCAAGUUGCGCCCGAGGCCAGCCGGCCGAGGGCCCGUCCGCCUGGGCGUCAAGCGUCGCGUCGCUCCGCGCCAGCCCCGUUCCGCCAGAUGGGUGUGACGGCCGAGGCUCGGAUGUGCAGAGUGGCCCGUCGUGCCGGUCGGUGCGUCGGGUUGAAGAGCGGGCUAUGCCGCGUCGGCCGCGAACAACAAGGGGUGGGUGAAAGCUGUUAGCGCAGCCUGCGUUGUCUCGUGCCGGCCCGGGGGAUGGAUUGUGCCCCCCAGGUGAUCCCGACCCAAGCGCCGAUCCGGAUGCGUCGGCUCUGGAAUGCGACCCCAGGAGGGCGAGGCC